AGGAGGACCCCGAUGGGGAGCAGACCUUCCGCGGCUAUAGGAUUUGAAAAAUCUGCAAAUGUAUUACCAAUAGCUUUGCCUUAAAUAAAAGUUUCAUAUUUGCAUAUUUUUCUUUUAGCAUGAGCUUAUAACGACAGGAAGUAACUCCCUCAUACAAUCAAAAUUAAGCUUGUUAGGAAUAGGAGGAGAACCUCAUCCUA
rnacentral:lncRNA from 1 species